rnacentral:rRNA from 1 species
GAUGAACGCUGACAGAAUGCUUAACACAUGCAAGUCCACUUGAACUUCGGUUUGGGUGGCGGACGGGUGAGUAACGCGUAAAGAACUUGCCUCACAGAUAGGGACAACAUUUGGAAACGAAUGCUAAUACCUGAUAUUAUGAUUUUAGGGCAUCCUAGGAUUAUGAAAGCUAUAUGCGCUGUGGGAGAGCUUUGCGUCCCAUUAGCUAGUUGGAGAGGUAACGGCUCACCAAGGCGAUGAUGGGUAGCCGGCCUGAGAGGGUGAUCGGCCACAAGGGGACUGAGACACGGCCCUUACUCCUACGGGAGGCAGCAGUGGGGAAUAUUGGACAAUGGACCAAGAGUCUGAUCCAGCAAUUCUGUGUGCACGAUGAAGUUUUUCGGAAUGUAAAGUGCUUUCAGUUGGGAAGAAAAAAAUGACGGUACCAACAGAAGAAGUGACGGCUAAAUACGUG